UACGGAGGGUGCAAGCGUUAGUCGGAAUUACUGGGCGUAAAGCGUGCGUAGGUGGUUUCUUAAGUCCGUUGUGAAAGCCCUGGGCUCAACCUGGGAACUGCAGUGGAUACUGGGAGGCUAGAGUGUGUCAGAGGAUGGUGGAAUUCCCGGUGUAGCGGUGAAAUGCGUAGAGAUCGGGAGGAACAUCAGUGGCGAAGGCGGCCAUCUGGGACAACACUGACGCUGAGGCACGAAAGCGUGGGGAGCAAACAGG
rnacentral:rRNA from 1 species